rnacentral:rRNA from 1 species
CCUACGGGGGUCAGCAGUGAGGAAUAUUGGUCAAUGGGCGGAAGCCUGAACCAGCCAAGUCGCGUGAGGGAUUAAGGCCCUGCGGGUCGUAAACCUCUUUUGCCGGGGAGCAGUGGUCCGGACGAGUCCGGGCCGGGAGAGUACCCGGAGAAAAAGCAUCGGCUAACUCCGUGCCAGCAGCCGCGGUAAUACGGAGGAUGCGAGCGUUAUCCGGAUUUAUUGGGUUUAAAGGGUGCGUAGGCGGGCAUUUAAGCCGGCGGUCAAAUGUCGGGGCUCAACCCCGGCCUGCCGUCGGAACUGGGUGCCUUGAGUGGGCGAGAAGUAUGCGGAAUGCGUGGUGUAGCGGUGAAAUGCAUAGAUAUCACGCAGAACCCCGAUUGCGAAGGCAGCAUACCGGCGCCCGACUGACGCUGAGGCACGAAAGUGCGGGUAUCGAACAGGAUUAGAUACCCGGGUAGUC